GCUUGUCUCAAAGAUUAAGCCAUGCAUGUCUAAGUAUAAACACCUUUAUACUGUGAAACUGCGUACAGCUCAUUAAAUCAGUAAUAAUUUAUUUGAUGGUGACUUACUACAUGGAUAACCGUAGUAAUUCUAGAGCUAAUACAUGCAUAAAACCCUAACUUCUGGAAAGGGUGUAUUUAUUAGAUGGAAACCAAUGCGGGGUAACCCGGAAUAUGGUGAUUCAUAAUAACUUUCGGAUCGAUUUAUCGAUGCAUCAUUCAAGUUUCUGCCCUAUCAGCUUUGGAUGGUAGGGUAUUGGCCUACCAUGGCUUUAACGGGUAACGGAGAAUUAGGGUUCGAUUCCGGAGAGGGAGCCUGAGAAACGGCUACCACAUCCAAGGAAGGCAGCAGG
rnacentral:rRNA from 1 species